rnacentral:rRNA from 1 species
CCCUUAGAUGUUCUGGGCCGCACGCGCGCUACACUGACGAAUGCAACGAGCUUAUAACCUUGGCCGAAAGGUCUGGGUAAUCUCCAAAUUUCGUCGUGAUGGGGAUAGAUUAUUGCAAUUAUUAAUCUUCAACGAGGAAUGCCUAGUAAGCGCAAGUCAUCAGCUUGCGUUGAUUACGUCCCUGCCUUUUGUACACACCGCCCGUCGCUCCUACCGAUUGAAUGGUCCGGUGAAGCGUUCGGACCGUGGCCUUUGGACGGUUCGCCGUCUGUUGGCUGCGGGAAGUUCGUUAAACCUUAUCAUUUAGAGGAAGGAGAANUCGUAACA